rnacentral:rRNA from 1 species
AUUGAACGCUGGCGGCAUGCCUUACACAUGCAAGUCGAACGGCAGCACGGGGCAACCUGGUGGCGAGUGGCGAACGGGUGAGUAAUGCAUCGGAACGUACCUUUCAGUGGGGGAUAACGUAGCGAAAGUUACGCUAAUACCGCAUAUUCUGUGAGCAGGAAAGCAGGGGAUCGCAAGACCUUGCGCUGAUUGAGCGGCCGAUGUCAGAUUAGCUAGUUGGUGAGGUAAAGGCUCACCAAGGCGACGUUCUGUAGCGGGUCUGAGAGGAUGAUUCGCCACACUGGAACUGAGACACGGUACAGACUCCUACGGGAGGCAGCAGUGGGGAAUUUUGGACAAUGGGGGCAACCCUGAUCCAGCCAUGCCGCGUGAGUGAAGAAGGCCUUCGGGUUGUAAAGCUCUUUCGGCCGGGAAGAAAUCGCACGGGCUAAUACCCUGUGUGGAUGACGGUACCGGAAUAAGAAGCACCGGCUAACUACGUGCCAGCCGCCGCGGUAAAAC